GACGAACGCUGGCGGCGUGCUUAACACAUGCAAGUCGAGCGGAGCGGCGAACGGGUGAGUAACGCGUGAGUAACUGCACCCCUCUCUGGGGUAACAGUUGGAAACGGCUGCUAAUACCGGAUAGUGGGGGAUGACUCGCGCUCUAUCAGCUUGUUGGGGGGGUAGUGGCCUGCCAAGGCGGCGACGGGUAGCCGGCCUGAGAGGGGGACCGGCCACCUUGGGCUGUGCUACGGCCCAAACUCCUACUGGAGGCAGCAGUGGGGAGUAUUGCACAACUGGGCAAACCCUUGUGUAGCAAACCGCGUGCGGAAUGACGGCCUUCGGGUUGUAAACCUCUUUCAGCCAUGACGCGGUAGUGGCAGAAGAAGCACCGGCUAACUACGUGCCAGCAGCCGCGGUAAUUC
rnacentral:rRNA from 1 species